GCCGAGGUAGCUUAGCGGACAAAAGCGCCGGCCUUGAGAGCCGGUGUCCCUUUAUCGGGACACAAGGGUUCAAAUCCCUUCCUCGGCG
rnacentral:tRNA from 2 species